GUGUACUCCUGUAUGAGUGGUGCGUCGGCAGACCUAUGAAUGGGCAGAGAGGGGUGUGCUCUUGCAGACACCAUAGCAGCAGUGAGAUGAGGAGUGCCGUCUACUCCACUGCACGUCUGCUGAACUGAGAGAAGGAAAGAGGGAAGACGAAGGGAGUCAGAGUUUCCAAUAGACUUCAUCAAUCUCAAAGCUCCGUCAGUGCUGAACGUCUGCUGAGGGAUAAAAAGGAAAAAAAAAUCAGCCAUGGAGCAGAAGACAAAUGAGAGUCCCAACACCACCUCUCCUCAGAAGCACAUGAAGAACAGGUCCAAAUCAACAGAGGAGAUGCAGCAGUCGAAGAAGGCCUUUUCCUCACAAAAAUCCCUCCCAGGCAGACCAGAGCUAGACAACGUGAAGGAGUGUCCCGAUGGCACUGACACACCCUCGUCCUCCACCGAAGAAGUGAAGUGAUACACAAAAGGGAUCAGUAGGAGGAUAAGGCUACAAGAUCAUCAUACAACAACAUGAUUCACAUAUGAAAAUGUAAAUAAUGUGCAAAAGGUAACAUACAAAAUAUUAAGGAUAAUAGUGAAAGUAAAAAAUCAACAAAGUGAAGAUUUGUUAAAGGAAACUGUGAAAAAAAAGGUAAAUUGAACACACACAAGACAAUCUCAUGUAAACCAGCCAUGAUGAAGCUGUUUCCAUUGUACUGUGAGUGUCAUAUACAAAUCACACUGAAUGUGCAUUGACAAUAAAAUGAUUCCUCAUCUGUUGUCACCCACACCAGGAAUUAAAUACCUGCAAAACUCAAAAUACUGAAAAUAUUUGAAUGAAGGAGCAUUUGCAUUGUGAAGUGAUUCAGUAUACAGAGAUUUAGUGUUUCUCUUUUUCCAGAUUUCUCACUCGGUGUCACGAGUGUCACAAAAAACACAGAGAUUUUUAUUUCAGAACUUUAUUUUUCCUUCGUCUCCUUUAUUUUACGACUCGAACAGAUAAACCUGCUGUUAAUGAAAACGCUACAUAAAUGAGUUCAAUUGCUUCAUCUGUAGCAGCAACAACAUAAUGUUAACACUCUGAUGCUUCAGUAUUAAUAAUCUAACAAGGUCAUAUACAAUCACA